GAGUCGGUAGCGAAGCGGUUGAACGCGGCAGACUGUAAAUCUGCUCCUCUUCGGAGGCUCGUUGGUUCGAAUCCAACCCGGCUCACCA
rnacentral:tRNA from 1 species